rnacentral:misc_RNA from 1 species
UGGUUCUGGCAUCGAUGAAGAACGCAGCAAAAUGCGAUAAGUAAUGCGAAUUGCAGAAUUCCGUGAGUCAUCGAAUCUUUGAACGCACAUUGCGCCCUUUGGCAUUCCGAAGGGCAUGCCUGUUCGAGCGUCAUUAUCAACCUUCAAGCCCCGUGCUUGUCGUUGGACCACGGUCUGGGUGUCCCCGGACCGGUCCCAAAGACAAUGACGGCGUCCGUGGGACCCUCGGUACAAUGAGCUUUCACGAGCACGUACCGCCAGCGGCUCCGCGGGCCCGGCCUCGUUUCACACACUUCUCAGGUUGACCUCGGAUCAGGUAGGAAUACCCGCUGA